rnacentral:lncRNA from 1 species
GAUGAUUGGGUUCAUUAGUUGCUAAGGUAUUUUGGUUUAGCCCAUGUCAAUUAGAUCGGUCAUAUGAUGACUGAUUAAAUGAGAUCUUACCUAAACCUCCCCAAUCAAUAUUAAGCCUUAUGGUCUUCCACUGUUCUAGAAGUACAGGCGUGAUAUUGGCAUUGACUGUUUUUGACUGGUUACAGUGGUUUAGUUGCAUCGAGAAUAUGCAACCACUCUACGAAUAAAGAGUUGCUCCAAGGUGAAGAUGGGGUUGGGCCUAAUAUGUGUUAUCUGAGGGACUUAAUGACGGCUUCACAUCUGCUUGUAAACGGUGGGUCUGGCUUAACUAAGGAGUGGGACAAUAUGUAUUAUCUGAGCUCAUAUGAUUUAGAAAUCAAGUCGCUGCAAUAUACCUAGAGAAGCAUUGGAGCAAAGAGUUGCCUACGCAUCGGUGUGCAUGUUAUCAAUAAUUGUUAGGUGAGGUGCAUAGCAUCAGUAAGACCGUAGCACCCACUAGAAAUCUUGCAUUGGUCACGUUGGAUUUUUGUUUUUCAUCCGGAGAGUAUCGAAAUCCGAAAGNN